GACCGUCCGUCUGCUACCGCUGGGCCCGGUCGUCUGCUUGGGUGCGAGGUGUCGAUAAGAGGCAACGAAAAUAAGACCUUAUCGAGAGGACGCAACGCCCGCAUCGCUGAUGUUGCUGGUCUACAACACUUGGGCGGCUUGCCGCAGCCCAACGAGAUUUGGCAUUUCAGUGGAGCUGCUUGGUUUGCCACACAAUGUGUGCAGAACCAUAUACCCUGGAAGCUGUGGACAUGACUUCUUGAAAUGGGUAAAAGGAAUGCUCAUACGGCCGCAGGU